GCUGACGAUUGGCUUUGGGACACUAUUCCCAACAUGCAUUAAACAUAAACCACAAGGAUCUACUUCAUAUGCUGAAAUUGUACAUAUUCUGAAAUUUAAUAUGUGAUCGAAUCACAAAUCUGUUUCAUAAUUUCUUUCUUCAAAUCUAGAUCUGGAAGAGAAGAGAUUUUUUUUAGCCAUACAAGUAUCCCGCCUCUACGGGUAUCCACUCGAGAUCAGUCUGGAAUAAUUCUCUUCAAAUUAAUUUUUCUUUUCUAAAAAAAAUCAAUCUGCGAAUCUGAACGAAGCCUGAAUCACGAUCAACUCUUUGAUCCUUUUCUUGAUCUUCUUUUUUUCUUCUUUUCUUGGCUUUUUCUCCUACUACCAGAAAGAAAAAAUAGCACACAAGGGAUGCCCAAAGCCCUUAUGGGCGUGAUGAUGA
rnacentral:lncRNA from 1 species